rnacentral:rRNA from 1 species
GAGAGUUUGAUCCUGGCUCAGGACGAACGCUGGCGGCGUGCCUAAUACAUGCAAGUCGAACGCUUCUUUUUCCACCGGAGCUUGCUCCACCGGAAAAAGAGGAGUGGCGAACGGGUGAGUAACACGUGGGUAACCUGCCCAUCAGAAGGGGAUAACACUUGGAAACAGGUGCUAAUACCGUAUAACAAUCGAAACCGCAUGGUUUUGAUUUGAAAGGCGCUUUCGGGUGUCGCUGAUGGAUGGACCCGCGGUGCAUUAGCUAGUUGGUGAGGUAACGGCUCACCAAGGCGACGAUGCAUAGCCGACCUGAGAGGGUGAUCGGCCACAUUGGGACUGAGACACGGCCCAAACUCCUACGGGAGGCAGCAGUAGGGAAUCUUCGGCAAUGGACGAAAGUCUGACCGAGCAACGCCGCGUGAGUGAAGAAGGUUUUCGGAUCGUAAAACUCUGUUGUUAGAGAAGAACAAGGAUGAGAGUAACUGUUCAUCCCUUGACGGUAUCUAACCAGAAAGCCACGGCUAACUACGUGCCAGCAGCCGCGGUAAUACGUAGGUGGCAAGCGUUGUCCGGAUUUAUUGGGCGUAAAGCGAGCGCAGGCGGUUUCUUAAGUCUGAUGUGAAAGCCCCCGGCUCAACCGGGGAGGGUCAUU